GCCUGGGUGGGGUUCCGUGGAGUCAGAGGAUGCGCAUUACCCAAUUUUCAGCCGAGAGAUGUGAUGUGAAUAUUAUUGUCAAGUUGACCUUUACGAAUGGUGUUGCUUUUCGACGAAAGAAAAUACCCCCACCACGCGAUUCACCGGAGAGAAGGUCUGAUAACUUUUAAAUGAUUUAUAAAUAAAGGGCUCUUGGAAAGGCCAUCUGUUUUUCGAUCUAUUUCUGGGAAUUGGAUAUUUUUAGCACGACUUCUUUGCGAAAAUGCAAUAUCUUGGCUGAACGAUCACAGCUUAAAACUCCUCAAUCACUGUGAAAAGAAAUGGAAGAAAGCCGAAUGAAAUUUACCGACCAAAUAUGGGCGCGCCACACCCCAGUGUGUUGUGCUCGAUCAAAGGUUGCAAUUCAAUGUUUACGGGCUGAAAAUCAACACGUUUUAUGUAAACAUCAAUAAAAAUUAUCAGACAAGAAUUCAAUUAACAAUUACACACGUUCCUGUGCAAACAAAUGUAAAUAUACGAAAUAAAGCAAACAUAAUUCAA